GGUAAUACGGAGGGUGCAAGCGUUAAUCGGAAUUACUGGGCGUAAAGCGCACGCAGGCGGUCUGUCAAGUCGGAUGUGAAAUCCCCGGGCUCAACCUGGGAACUGCAUUCGAAACUGGCAGGCUAGAGUCUUGUAGAGGGGGGUAGAAUUCCAGGUGUAGCGGUGAAAUGCGUAGAGAUCUGGAGGAAUACCGGUGGCGAAGGCGGCCCCCUGGACAAAGACUGACGCUCAGGUGCGAAAGCGUGGGGAGCAAACAGGAUUAGAUACCCUGGUAGUCCACGCCGUAAACGAUGUCGAUUUGGAGGUUGUGCCCUUGAGGCGUGGCUUCCGGAGCUAACGCGUUAAAUCGACCGCCUGGGGAGUACGGCCGCAAGGUUAAAACUCAAAUGAAUUGACGGGGGCCCGCACAAGCGGUGGAGCAUGUGGUUUAAUUCGAUGCAACGCGAAGAACCUUACCUGGUCUUGACAUCCACAGAACUUUCCAGAGAUGGAUUGGUGCCUUCGGGAACUGUGAGACAGGUGCUGCAUGGCUGUCGUCAGCUCGUGUUGUGAAAUGUUGGGUUAAGUCCCGCAACGAGCGCAACCCUUAUCCUUUGUUGCCAGCGGUCCGGCCGGGAACUCAAAGGAGACUGCCAGUGAUAAACUGGAGGAAGGUGGGGAUGACGUCAAGUCAUCAUGGCCCUUACGACCAGGGCUACACACGUGCUACAAUGGCAUAUACAAAGAGAAGCGACCUCGCGAGAGCAAGCGGACCUCAUAAAGUAUGUCGUAGUCCGGAUUGGAGUCUGCAACUCGACUCCAUGAAGUCGGAAUCGCUAGUAAUCGUAGAUCAGAAUGCUACGGUGAAUACGUUCCCGGGCCUUGUACACACCGCCCGUCACACCAUGGGAGUGGGUUGCAAAAGAAGUAGGUAGCUUAACCUUCGGGAGGGCGCUUACCACUUUGUGAUUCAUGACUGGGGUGAAGUCGUAACAAGGUAA
rnacentral:rRNA from 1 species